rnacentral:rRNA from 1 species
GACAGAGGUGCCAAGCGUUAGGCGGAAUCACUGGGCUUAAAGCGUGUGUAGGCGGACUUCUAAGUACCUUGUGAAAUCCCACAGCUCAACUGUGGAACUGCUCGGUAUACUGGUUGUCUUGAGCCACUUAGGGGCAGUCGGAACAGAUGGUGGAGCGGUGAAAUGCGUAGAUAUCAGGAGGAACACCAAUGGCGAAGGCAGCUCGCUGGGCCGGUCCUGACGCUCGGGCGCGAAAGCGUGGGGAGCGAUCCGG